rnacentral:lncRNA from 1 species
CUAACCCCUUAUCUAAAUGAGGUAAAAUAUUUAAAGCACUCAGUAGAGAUCCUGGCACGCAGUAAGUACUUGUUAUUUAUCUGUGUGUUUCUCUAUCUAUCUAUGUAGCUAUUUAUCCACCUAUCCAUCCACAUUUUGAGACAGAAUCAGAGUCCUAUUCUCUUCUAUCCCAUGGACUGCUGAUUCUCAAGGGAAGAACUAUAUCCAAGCUCCACAAGAUUGGUUUGUGCAGUGCUCACCUCCUUGCCCUCGUUGACCACUUGGACAGCAGAGCUUCAUGAGAUGGAUGAAUGAGAGGAUGAUGGAUUCUAAGCUCUUCAAAAAGAGAAGCCACACAGCAAUGUGGUAAAUGUUACAAAGCAGCCUCAUGGUAUUUUGCCUGUACUAAACUACUGAAUAGAGUGAGAAGAUAUGCACUUCUCUCUAGGUAGUGAGAUAGCUGUUGCUGCCUACUGGUAAUAAUAAGUAAGACGAGAUCUUGAGAUACAGUAUUAGAGAUCAAAAAUCUUCAUCCAGUUCAAAUAAAUAAUUCUCAUUGACCUGCUUACUACUUUUG